GUAAAAAGGUGACCUGCCGAGAGAGAUAUUAAAGAAAUUUAAUUGAUUUGUCUGAGUCGGAGAGAGAAUGUGUGGGGAGGACAGUGUAGAAUAGGAGGUCUAAAAUAUUUUUUGGUGUGAAUGGUAUUUUGGUGGGUGGGGUUAAGUGGGCGGUUGGUGGGUGUUUGAGUGGGGGGAGGGAGCCGAAAAGACUGGGAGUGUGGGUGGAUCUCUUAUUGAAAGGAGGUGUUUUAUAACGAUGAACUUUUAAUUAUAAAAGUGGAGUUUAUUUAUAUAUUUUUUGUUGUUGGGGGAAGUUUUUGGGGGGGAGUUUGGAGUGGAUGCAAAACAAAAAUAUUUUUUUAAACUAAUUGAGUGAACACAGAUUUCUUUUAGUAGAAAAAACUUCAAAACUUUCACAAUGGAUCUCUUGGUUGUGGGAUGGAUGAAGAACGCAGCGAAAUGCGAUAGCGUAAUGUGAAUUGCAGAAUUGGCGUGAAUCAUCGAAGCUUUGAACGCCAUUGCGGCGCUGUGGUAUUGGGGGGGGCAUGGCUGUUUGAGCGUCAUUUGCUUCUCAAACACGUUGUGUUUGGUAGUGAGUGAUACGCUGCGUUUUUGAGUUAACUUGAAAUUGUAGGCCAUAUCAGUAUGUGGGACACGAGCGCAAGCUUGCUGCUAUUAAUGCUGCUGCGCGUUUGCGCGAGGGGCGGGGGGUUAAUAGCUGUAUUAGGUUUUAGCAAGCUGCGGUGUUGAUGUAGGGAGGGAUAAGUGAGUGUUGCUGUGCGUGCUGGGCGACAGACGUCUUUAAGUUUGAGCGUGCAAAUGGAGGUAGGGUUAGCGCGGCUGAAGCUUAAGAUAUGCAUUAAGCGGGAAGGAAA
rnacentral:rRNA from 1 species